rnacentral:rRNA from 1 species
UGGCGGCAUGCCUUACACAUGCAAGUCGAACGCGAAAGUGGGGGCAACCCUGCGAGUAGAGUGGCGAACGGGUGAGUAACACAUCGGAACGUACCCAGGAGUGGGGGACAACCUCGAGAAAUCGAGGCUAAUACCGCAUACGUCCUGAGGGAGAAAGCGGGGGAUUCGCAAGGACCUCGCGCUCAUGGAGCGGCCGAUGUCGGAUUAGCUAGUUGGCGGGGUAAAAGCCCACCAAGGCUACGAUCCGUAGCUGGUUUGAGAGAACGACCAGCCACACUGGGACUGAGACACGGCCCAGACUCCUACGGGAGGCAGCAGUGGGGAAUUUUGGACAAUGGGGGCAACCCUGAUCCAGCCAUGCCGCGUGAGUGAAGAAGGCCUUCGGGUUGUAAAGCUCUUUCGGCCGGAACGAAAUCGCGUACGUGAAUAACGUGCGUGGAUGACGGUACUGGAAGAAGAAGCACCGGCUAACUACGUGCCAGCAGCCGCGGUAAUACGUAGGGUGCGAGCGUUAGUCGGAAUUACUGGGCGUAAAGCGUGCGCAGGCGGUUCUGCAAGUCAGGUGUGAAAUCCCCGGGCUUAACCUGGGAACUGCGUUUGAAACUACGGAGCUAGAGUACGGCAGAGGGGGGUGGAAUUCCACGUGUAGCAGUGAAAUGCGUAGAUAUGUGGAGGAACACCGAUGGCGAAGGCAGCCCCCUGGGCCGACACUGACGCUCAGGCA